GACGAACCGUGCGAACGUUGUUCGGAAUCACUGGGCUUAAAGGGCGCGUAGGCGGUUUGCCAAGUCAGGGGUGAAAUCCUGCAGCUCAACUGUAGAAGUGCCUUUGAUACUGGCGAACUCGAGGGAGGUAGGGGUGGGUGGAACUUCUGGUGGAGCGGUGAAAUGCGUAGAUAUCAUUUGGAACGCCAAAGGUGAAAACAGGUAGCUGGGGCUGUGCUGACGCUGAGACACGAAAGCCAGGGGAGCAAACGGG
rnacentral:rRNA from 1 species